rnacentral:rRNA from 1 species
AUUGAACGCUGGCGGCAUGCUUUACACAUGCCAGUCGAACGGUAACAGGCCUUCGGGUGCUGACGAGUGGCGAACGGGUGAGUAAUGCAUCGGAACGUGCCCAGAGGUGGGGGAUAACGCAGCGAAAGCUGUGCUAAUACCGCAUGUGAUCUAAGGAUGAAAGCGGGGGACCAAGCAGCAAUGUUUGGCCUCGCGCCUCUGGAGCGGCCGAUGUCAGAUUAGGUAGUUGGUGGGGUAAAGGCCUACCAAGCCGACGAUCUGUAGCUGGUCUGAGAGGACGACCAGCCACACUGGGACUGAGACACGGCCCAGACUCCUACGGGAGGCAGCAGUGGGGAAUUUUGGACAAUGGGCGCAAGCCUGAUCCAGCAAUGCCGCGUGCGGGAAGAAGGCCUUCGGGUUGUAAACCGCUUUUGUACGGAACGAAAAGGCUCUGGCUAAUACCUGGGGCUGAUGACGGUACCGUAAGAAUAAGCACCGGCUAACUACGUG